UCUAUCUAUGUAGGUUGAUGUGGUGAGU
rnacentral:sRNA from 1 species